AGUAACGGCGAGUGAAGCGGCAACAGCUCAAAUUUGAAAUCUGGCCCCGGCCCGAGUUGUAAUUUGCAGAGGAAGCUUCUGGCGCGGCGCCGUCCGAGUCCCCUGGAACGGGGCGCCAUAGAGGGUGAGAGCCCCGUAUGGAUGGACGCCUAGCCUGUGUGAAGCUCCUUCGACGAGUCGAGUAGUUUGGGAAUGCUGCUCAAAAUGGGAGGUAAAUUCCUUCUAAAGCUAAAUAUUGGCCAGAGACCGAUAGCGCACAAGAUAGAGUGAUCG
rnacentral:rRNA from 1 species